UCUUUCUUUGCUGGCGACCGGCGCACGGGUGAGUAACACGUAUCCAACCUGCCCUUACUCGGGGAUAGCUUUCGAAAGAAAGAUUAAUACCCGAUAGUAUAAUGAUUCCGCAUGGUUUCAUUAUUAAAGGAUUCCGGUAAAGGAUGGGGAUGCGUUCCAUUAGGUUGUUGGUGAGGUAACGGCUCACCAAGCCUUCGAUGGAUAGGGGUUCUGAGAGGAAGGUCCCCCACAUUGGAACUGAGACACGGUCCAA
rnacentral:rRNA from 1 species